rnacentral:rRNA from 1 species
UGCUUAAUACAUGCAAGUCGAACGCGUCCUUCGGGGCGAGUGGCGGACGGCUGAGUAACACGUAGGUAACGUGCCCUUUACUGGGGGAUAACACCGGGAAACCGGUGCUAAUACCGCAUAAGUCACUGGUCGAGAUACUGGUGAUUAAAGAUUUAUCGGUAAAGGAUCGGCCUGCGUCUGAUUAGCUAGUUGGUAGGGUAAAGGCCUACCAAGGCAAUGAUCAGUAGUUGGUCUGAGAGGAUGACCAGCCAGAGUGGGACUGAGACACGGCCCACACUUCUACGGAAGGCAGCAGUAGGGAAUUUUGCGCAAUGGGCGAAAGCCUGACGCAGCAACACCGCGUGCGGGAUGAAGGCCUUUGGGUUGUAAACCGC